UGGGAAGGGAGGGGUGAAAGGUCGCCGGUCCCCGGCAACACGGCUCAGGCAAACGUAAGCCGCUUGUCGCAGAAACCAAGGGGUCCAAGAAACCCGCUAGGCUAGAAGGCGGGAAGCAGAGAUUACUGACAGCCAUGCCAGCCAAUAAAAUGGGAAUGUGAGAAAGGCUCUUCAGGCCCCUUCCCAAUCAGGAAACUUGGGUAUGAGAGGGAGUGAAGGGGCGGGGUGGGAUCUCGGUCAAGCCGGGGCUGGAGUGGCGACAAUUUUGGCUAGUCUGAGAAGGGCAUUCGAGUGACCGUUGACAACGGGUGAGACAGCGUCAAGGCUGAAGAAAGAACCUUAACUAUAUGCUUCCAGGACUUCUAGCUAGAUGUGUCUCCUGAGGCAAGGGAAACAAAAGCAAAAUUAAAAUUAAACCAUUUGGACUACAUCAAGAUAAAAAGCUUUUGCACAGUGAAGGAAAUCAUCAAUAAAACAAAAAAGACAACCCACUGAAUGGUAGAAGAUAUUUGCAACUAACAUGUCUGUUUCACUCCUUCAGAAUCUUCUCUGUACCCCCAAAGGCUGAAAUCUAGGGGUUGCCUCAAGAGAUGACCUGUCCUCUGACUACUGGAUGGAAGCCCAAUAGGAAGCUUCUGCAAUAGGAGGUUUAAGCAGAAAUCUUCUAACUCUCCUGCCUUCUUGCAAAUUCAUCUUAUCUCUGGAAAGAGAAAGUUGGAGAAUCCCAGGUUGGAAUACAGACUGUGAUGAAAGAAUCCGACUGUAUUAUAAGCGUAUGAAUAAAACUUCAAAGAAGGACAUAGAGAGGAAAGGUGCUAUGUAAAGAGCUGGAAAUGAGUGGAGCCUAUAAUACUUAAGGAUACAGUAAGUCAGGAGACUAAACCCAGAAGAGGUUCCUCACCAGAACCCAAUCAUGGUGGUACCCUGAUCUUAGACUUCCAGACUUGAAGAAUUUGAAAUGGAAUUAUGAUACCAAAUGGCAUAAGGACAAUACUUUAUGCUGGUAAUUAAAUGGAAGACUAUAUAGAAUUCCAUGUUGCUCAGGAAGAUCUGGAUUUAAUAAAAUGGAGGCCUACUGAAGAAGAUUUAGAUAUAUCAGUUAUUAAGUCCCUUAUAUAGAUAUUACUACAUAUGUUUCUACUAGGGUUCUUCUCAUUAGAAGGUACAGAGCUCUAGAGUCAGGACUGUGGGUUUUGAAAUAACCCAUCCUGCAUCCAUAAACAACUUGCCUUGAUGGCUAGCCAAGACUCUGUCCUGCCACAGACCUCCUCCUACUUUCAUUUCUUACCCCAAGGAGCAGUAAACAUGAAUCCUGACCCACUAAUGGAGCCCCAGAACUGAGAAGAGAUACAUUGCUGCUAAACAGGUAGAAAUAAAAACAAUGCCUCUCUUCGAUAAUAUUAAAUGUGCUGGGAAGACAGUCUCCAAGAGAAAGGAUAAAUAAUCUACAUAAUGAAGAAUUAGUUAGCAGUGUUAUGUAAAUAUUGUAGCAGCAUCAAUGAGGAGGAUUAUUUUUGCACCUUUGGAAAGCAACUGAAAAAAGAAGCUUGGAAAAAAUCCUGCCUAACAAAGCAGCCAUACUCAAAUAGCUAAAACUAUAAGAAAGAACUGAUUGAAGAUACAAGAAUAGAUUUAAGAUGUAAGAUUAAAACAUGAUAAAAAAUGAUAUCCUCAUUUUUUUCAAUGCUGUGUAUUCUUGUCAGUGUAGCGAAAUGCUAAAAUGGCAAAGGAUUAAAUUGUUUUUAUUAUGCCCCUGAAUUUUAAGUAGUGACUGAAACAUAUAUUUUAUAUAAUAACAGCCAGACAAAACAACACAUAUAAGGAUAAAGGUAGGUGAGUGGAAAAUGUAAUGUACAAAUUAUCCAAAAGGAAAUCAGUUUAAAGCAAUUUUUUAGCUACUGGCAUCAAUAAGUUGACUCCCCGCUACUUUUCAGAAAAAGUUGGCAUACGUUUUCUUCUUGCUACACCCCUGAAAACCUCAGUUUUAGAAUGACGAAAUAUUUAAAUCUUUUGGAACUAUCUAGAUUUUAGGUAUUUCUUCUGAAAGUGUUGACUCUUGAUUUGACAAUGGUGCACAAAUCACUGAAAUUCACAAAUUCUAAAUCUCACUUAAAAUUUUUUUUAAUGUUUAUUUUUUUUGAAGAAGAGAGAGACAGAACAUGAGUGGGGGAGGGACAGAGAGAGAGAGGAGACACAGAAUCGGAAGCAGGCUUCAGGCUCUGAGCCAUCAGCACACAGCCUGUCGUGGGGCUCAAACCCACGAACCAUGAGAUCAUGACUUGAGCCAAAGUUAGAUGCUUAACCGACUGAGCCACCCAGGGGCUUCUCUAAAUCUCACUUUAGAUAUUGGUUUAAGAAAUGUUAAUAUUUCAAUUUAGUGAAAUGGUAAAAAGGUAGAUAAUAGAUAAAGAGAAAUGGAAAUGUUUCAGAUAAUAAAAGAAUUGAAUAAUUAGGUAAAAUUAAUCAGCCUUCAAUACAACGAGCUUUUGAUUGUCUAGCAAUGUUUGUAUCAUUUGUAGACUCUCCACAGAGAAUGUUUAACUGAAGGAUGCCCUUCUCUCUAUAUUCUUCCUAUUGCCACUGGUUGUUGUAUACUCAGGAAAGGCAAACACAUUUUAAUAUUAAUUAUAUUUCAGUCAAGAGGCCACCAGAGGAGGGAUAUGUCUGGGAAUAGAAGCCAGAAGCCCAAAUAUACUGAAUGAAAGUACAUAAACAUAGAUACAAGGAAAAUCUUUAGGUUAAAAUCAGGUUAAAAAGGAGAGUAAGUAUAGAAAUACAGGCACAGGCUAGAAUCUAGGAGUUGCAUCCAGGUAACCAAAGAAGUUGAACAGGCAAUAGAUGAGAACAGAAUGCAUUUAGCAGUGGCAAUCAGGUGUCCAGAAAUGAAUCAAGUGUCUGGGGGCUUAGGACAGCAAGCUCAAGGUCAAGGGCUUACAGAAAAAAAAUAUUCUUCCAUAUUGGAAAAAUCUUGCUUCAGAUGUUAUUUAUAAUCCCAGGCCCAAGACAUGUUGAAUUCAAUUCAGUUUAUGAAUAACUAGGAUGUAUAAAAUCACACUCUCUCUGUGCAUUCCUAGUUGAUUGCAGUUGGUAUUCUUAUUUCAUUGUGACUAAAAGCACUUGUGAAAGACUGUAUACCAUGAGGAAUGUAGGGGCCGCUUUCAGGCAAACAGGCUUGAACAAUGUAAUAUAGAAAGGGCCCACAGGCAACACCUGGCUGACUUUAAACAGGCCCAUCAGGUGACCCACCUGGAAAUAUACAUAUAUAUGGCAUAUAUCCAUAUGGCACUGACCAAUGGGCUACUUAGAACUAGGCACUGUUACUGAAAAAGGGAAGAUUCCAUACAUUGCCAUGCUUCCUCAUCUUCCCCCUUUAAAGCAGCCCUCACCCACUGCCUCCCGGUGGACAGUCUCUCCUCUGCUGUCCUGCCCACUCCCUAGUGGUGUAUUCAAUAAAUUUCUACCUGCUUUGUUCUGCCUCAGGUGAAUUCUUUUACCUUCAGUGCCACCAACUUCCACCUGAUCUUUGCCCCCACAUUUGGGAGCCCCCAUCCGAUCCAGAGACACCCCAUUUAGGCACCACAUUUGGUGUCCCAUAUGGGGGGACUUUGUGGCCCACCCCACACUUGGGGGAACUCUGCACAAGGAGCCUUUGCUCUCCCCAGAUUCUCCAGGAAUCUCUUGGGACUUUCCUUGGGGGACCAACUCUAGUACUCCUUGGGGAACUGAUGAUGUGCAUCAGCAGAGGUUACUUCUAGGUGAGGAUCCAAAGUCCCAAGGGGGAACCAGCCAGAUCACCCUUGCCUGAGUGUGUGAAGGAUUUCACCUUUUGCCUUCUGGAGGGACCCUCCACUCCCUCCUUUCUCUUUUUGGCUCUUUAGUAGUCUAACCCUAGUAAUGUUGCAGGAUUUUAUUGUUGUUGUUAAUAUAUAUAUAAUUAUUUAUUUUUAAAUUUACAUCUGAGUUAGCAUAUGGUGCAAUAAUGAUUUCAGGAGUAGAAUCCAGUGAUUCGCCUUUUACAUACCCAAUGCUCAUCCCAACGAGUGUCCUCCUUAAUGCCCUUUGCCCAUUUAGCCCAUCCCCCCACCCACAACCCCUCCAGCAACCCUGUUUGUUCUCUGUAUUUA